rnacentral:rRNA from 1 species
AGAGUUUGAUCAUGGCUCAGAUUGAACGCUGGCGGCAGGCCUAACACAUGCAAGUCGAACGGUAACAGGAAGCAGCUUGCUGCUUCGCUGACGAGUGGCGGACGGGUGAGUAAUGUCUGGGAAACUGCCUGAUGGAGGGGGAUAACUACUGGAAACGGUAGCUAAUACCGCAUAAUGUCGCAGGACCAAAGAGGGGGACCUUCGGGCCUCUUGCCAUCAGAUGUGCCCAGAUGGGAUUAGCUUGUUGGUGAGGUAACGGCUCACCAAGGCGACGAUCCCUAGCUGGUCUGAGAGGAUGACCAGCCACACUGGAACUGAGACACGGUCCAGACUCCUACGGGAGGCAGCAGUGGGGAAUAUUGCACAAUGGGCGCAAGCCUGAUGCAGCCAUGCCGCGUGUAUGAAGAAGGCCUUCGGGUUGUAAAGUACUUUCAGCGGGGAGGAAGGUGUUGUGGUUAAUAACCGCAGCAAUUGACGUUACCCGCAGAAGAAGCACCGGCUAACUCCGUGCCAGCAGCCGCGGUAAUACGGAGGGUGCAAGCGUUAAUCGGAAUUACUGGGCGUAAAGCGCACGCAGGCGGUCUGUCAAGUCGGAUGUGAAAUCCCCGGGCUCAACCUGGGAACUGCAUUCGAAACUGGCAGGCUUGAGUCUUGUAGAGGGGGGUAGAAUUCCAGGUGUAGCGGUGAAAUGCGUAGAGAUCUGGAGGAAUACCGGUGGCGAAGGCGGCCCCCUGGACAAAGACUGACGCUCAGGUGCGAAAGCGUGGGGAGCAAACAGGAUUAGAUACCCUGGUAGUCCACGCCGUAAACGAUGUCUACUUGGAGGUUGUGCCCUUGAGGCGUGGCUUCCGGAGCUAACGCGUUAAGUAGACCGCCUGGGGAGUACGGCCGCAAGGUUAAAACUCAAAUGAAUUGACGGGGGCCCGCACAAGCGGUGGAGCAUGUGGUUUAAUUCGAUGCAACGCGAAGAACCUUACCUGGUCUUGACAUCCACAGAACCCUGUAGAGAUACGGGGGUGCCUUCGGGAACUGUGAGACAGGUGCUGCAUGGCUGUCGUCAGCUCGUGUUGUGAAAUGUUGGGUUAAGUCCCGCAACGAGCGCAACCCUUAUCCUUUGUUGCCAGCGGUCCGGCCGGGAACUCAAAGGAGACUGCCAGUGAUAAACUGGAGGAAGGUGGGGAUGACGUCAAGUCAUCAUGGCCCUUACGACCAGGGCUACACACGUGCUACAAUGGCGCAUACAAAGAGAAGCGACCUCGCGAGAGCAAGCGGACCUCAUAAAGUGCGUCGUAGUCCGGACUGGAGUCUGCAACUCGACUCCAUGAAGUCGGAAUCGCUAGUAAUCGUGGAUCAGAAUGCCACGGUGAAUACGUUCCCGGGCCUUGUACACACCGCCCGUCACACCAUGGGAGUGGGUUGCAAAAGAAGUAGGUAGCUUAACCUUCGGGAGGGCGCUUACCACUUUGUGAUUCAUGACUGGGGUGAAGUCGUAACAAGGUAACCGUAGGGGAACCUGCGGUUGGAUCACCU